UACGUAGGGGGCAAGCGUUGUCCGGAUUUAUUGGGCGUAAAGAGCGUGUAGGCGGUCAGGUAGGUCCGUUGUGAAAACUCGAGGCUCAACCUCGAGACGCCGAUGGAAACCAUCUGACUAGAGUCCGGAAGAGGAGAGUGGAAUUCCUGGUGUAGUGGUGAAAUGCGCAGAUAUCAGGAAGAACACCCGUGGCUAAGGCGGCUCUCUAGUACGGUACUGACGCUGAGACGCGAAAGCGUGGGGAGCGAACAGG
rnacentral:rRNA from 1 species